rnacentral:rRNA from 1 species
AUGAACGCUGGCGGCGUGCCUAACACAUGCCAGUCGAACGAAGCACCUUACCUGAUUCUUCGGAUGAAAGUUUGGUGACUGAGUGGCGGACGGGUGAGUAACGCGUGGGUAACCUGCCCUGUACAGGGGGAUAACAGCUGGAAACGGCUGCUAAUACCGCAUAAGCGCACGAGGAGACAUCUCCUUGUGUGAAAAACUCCGGUGGUACAGGAUGGGCCCGCGUCUGAUUAGCUGGCUGGCAGGGUAACGGCCUACCAAGGCAACGAUCAGUAGCCGGUCUGAGAGGAUGAACGGCCACAUUGGAACUGAGACACGGUCCAAACUCCCACGGGAGGCAGCAGUGGGGAAUAUUGCACAAUGGGGGAAACCCUGAUGCAGCAACGCCGCGUGAGUGAAGAAGUAUUUCGGUAUGUAAAGCUCUAUCAGCAGGGAAGAUAAUGACGGUACCUGACUAAGAAGCUCCGGCUAAAUACGUG